AACGAGUUAACGUUACAGCAAACCAUGUUCUGGUCUGAUGGUAGACAGAUUGCUAAAGUUAACGAAGAAAGCGUUCAUCUUGUUACCCCUGUGCACUGGGGUCUCGAUUCUGCCAUCUGGCUCAUUUAAUGUUAAACUAUUAGUAGUAAAGUUAGGAACAAGUCAGGGCAGGCAGUAAUUCUCAGUAACGUUAGAACAUUGACAUGUGGCAAGAAACGCUCCAAAUGGCUUUACCACCUGCGAUUUAAUUGAUUGGCCUGUUCUGACACGGUCUUGGUGUGAAGUAUAUGGAACGUGUUUUAUUUUUGUAAUUAUCUUUGCAUGUGGAUGGUGGUUGGAUUGAGGCCCAGCCAAGCUCAUUAAAACUUUCAGGAAUGACGCUAGCCAACAACGUUAACUGACUUUGAUGGAUAGUUGUUUUAUCAAAGACACUGAAGAUGCCAGUGAAACUGACCUAGCGAAACACAACGAGGAUGAUUAUGUGGAAAUUAAAGAACAGAUGUACCAAGACAAGUUGGCAUCAUUGAAAAGGCAGUUGACGCAACUCCAAGAAGGAACACUUCAGGAGUACCAGAAGAGAAUGAAGAAGCUGGACCAGCAAUAUAAAGAGAGACUUCGCAAUGCUGAUCUCUUCCUCCAACUAGAGACAGAACAGGUGGAGAGGAACCACAUCAAAGAGAAAAAAGCGGCGGUGAAGGAGUUUGACGAUAAGAAGGUUGAGCUGAAGGAGAAUUUAAUUGCGGACCUGGAGGAGAAGAAGAAGAUGAUAGAGAAUGAGAAAUUAACAAUGGAGUUGACUGGCGAUUCUAUGGAGGUGAAACCCAUCAUGACCCGGAAGUUGAGGAGGCGGCCCAACGAUCCAGUCCCCAUUCCAGACAAACGAAGGAAACCGGCACCUGCUCAGUUAAACUAUUUGCUAACAGACGACCAGAUAAUGGAAGAUCUGCGAACACUGAACAAGCAGCUGAAGUCCCCUAAGCGUCCAGUGUCUCCGUCUUCUCCAGACCAUAUGCCCACCACUCCAGUAGAGGCCCCUUCACAGCGCUAUGAAGCCCGCAUCGAAGAAGGAAAGCUCUACUAUGACAAGAGAUGGACAAUGACCCAACACACCUCCAGGCUGUGUAAGGGCUAUUUGACCAAGAAGGAGUGGAGGGCAGCAUCAGAUGACGUGGCCUCCACAAUCACCCGACCUCAGCCCUAUUUAUUUUAUUUAUUUCACCUUUAUUUAACCAGUUUCAGAGAUCUUUGUAGGUCGUUCCAGUCAUUGGCAGCAGAGAACUGGAAGGAGAGACGGCCAAAGGAGGAAUUGGCUUUGGGGGUGACCAGAGAGAUAUACCUGCUGGAGCGCGUGCUACAGGUACCAUAAGGGCCAAGCCAUCUACCUGGAGUCAAAGGAGAACACCAAGAUCAGCUGUGUCAUCAGCUCUGUGGGAACAAACGAGAUCUGGGUGAGGAAGACCAGUGACAGCACAAAGAUGAGGAUCUACCUGGGACAACUGCAGAGAGGAGCGUUUGUCAUCCGACGGCGGUCGGCAGCAUAGAACACAUGCCCCUUCUGUUUAUCCAUCCAUCUCUAUAGCAUCUUCCUCGUUCUAUCCCUUUUUGUAAGUAUAGUACGUGGCUUCCCUCAUGUUGAUCCCCUGCCCUACUGUGUGCCUGAGGAAGUUUUCUCAAUGACUUCCUGACGUUUCAACUAGGGAUGCACCGAUAUAAAAUCUUUGCCCAAUAUCGAUAUUUUCCUUGCCAAAUAAACCGAUACCCGAUAUUUACAUUUUUUGCGGCCUUUUUAAAAUGCUGUAAAAUAGUCAUAUGUUUGAAAAAUUGAAGUUUUUGUAUUUUUGAGGAAUUUGUAAUUCGCGCCACACCUAUCAUUGGAUAUUGGAGCAGGUGUUCCGCUAGCGAAACGUCUAGAUGUAAGAGGUUAAUUAAGCAUGUCCCAGUUUAGGUCACCUAACAGUACGAACUCUGAAGAUAGAUGGGGGGCGA